ACAAAUGCCCUGCUUCCAGGAAAAGCCUCUAAGCAUCAGGUAACAUCAAAUCGUACCCCAAACCGACACAGGUGGUCAGGUAGAGAAUACCAAGGCGCUUGAGAGAACUCGGGUGAAGGAACUAGGCAAAAUGGUGCCGUAACUUCGGGAGAAGGCACGCUGAUAUGUAGGUGAAGCGACUUGCUCGUGGAGCUGAAAUCAGUCGAAGAUACCAGCUGGCGUGCAACUGUUUAUUAAAAACACAGCACUGUGCAAACACGAAAGUGGACGUAUACGGUGUGACGCCUGCCCGGUGCCGGAAGGUUAAUUGAUGGGGUUAGCGGCAACGCGAAGCUCUUGAUCGAAGCCCCGGUAAACGGCGGCCGUAACUAUAACGGUCCUAAGGUAGCGAAAUUCCUUGUCGGGUAAGUUCCGACCUGCACGAAUGGCGUAAUGAUGGCCAGGCUGUCUCCACCCGAGACUCAGUGAAAUUGAACUCGCUGUGAAGAUGCAGUGUACCCGCGGCAAGACGGAAAGACCCCGUGAACCUUUACUAUAGCUUGACACUGAACAUUGAGCCUUGAUGUGUAGGAUAGGUGGGAGGCUUUGAAGUGUGGACGCCAGUCUGCAUGGAGCCGACCUUGAAAUACCACCCUUUAAUGUUUGAUGUUCUAACGUUGGCCCGUAAUCCGGGUUGCGGACAGUGUCUGGUGGGUAGUUUGACUGGGGCGGUCUCCUCCUAAAGAGUAACGGAGGAGCACGAAGGUUGGCUAAUCCUGGUCGGACAUCAGGAGGUUAGUGCAAUGGCAUAAGCCAGCUUGACUGCGAGCGUGACGGCGCGAGCAGGUGCGAAAGCAGGUCAUAGUGAUCCGGUGGUUCUGAAUGGAAGGGCCAUCGCUCAACGGAUAAAAGGUACUCCGGGGAUAACAGGCUGAUACCGCCCAAGAGUUCAUAUCGACGGCGGUGUUUGGCACCUCGAUGUCGGCUCAUCACAUCCUGGGGCUGAAGUAGGUCCCAAGGGUAUGGCUGUUCGCCAUUUAAAGUGGUACGCGAGCUGGGUUUAGAACGUCGUGAGACAGUUCGGUCCCUAUCUGCCGUGGGCGCUGGAGAACUGAGGGGGGCUGCUCCUAGUACGAGAGGACCGGAGUGGACGCAUCACUGGUGUUCGGGUUGUCAUGCCAAUGGCACUGCCCGGUAGCUAAAUGCGGAAGAGAUAAGUGCUGAAAGCAUCUAAGCACGAAACUUGCCCCGAGAUGAGUUCUCCCUGACUCCUUGAGAGUCCUGAAGGAACGUUGAAGACGACGACGUUGAUAGGCCGGGUGUGUAAGCGCAGCGAUGCGUUGAGCUAACCGGUACUAAUGAACCGUGAGGCUUAACCUU
rnacentral:rRNA from 1 species